AGUGAACGCUGGCGGUAGGCCUAACACAUGCAAGUCGAACGGCAGCACAGUAAGAGCUUGCUCUUACGGGUGGCGAGUGGCGGACGGGUGAGGAAUACAUCGGAAUCUACUUUUUCGUGGGGGAUAACGUAGGGAAACUUACGCUAAUACCGCAUACGACCUACGGGUGAAAGCAGGGGAUCUUCGGACCUUGCGCGAUUGAAUGAGCCGAUGUCGGAUUAGCUAGUUGGCGGGGUAAAGGCCCACCAAGGCGACGAUCCGUAGCUGGUCUGAGGGGAUGAUCAGCCACACUGGAACUGAGACACGCUCCAGACUCCUACGGGAGGCAGCAGUGGGGAAUAUUGGACAGAGGGCGCAAGCCUGAUCCAGCCAUACCGCGUGUGUGAAGAAGGCCUUCGGGUUGUAAAGCCCUUUUGUUGGGAAAGAAAAGCAGCAGGUUAAUACCCCGCUGUUCUGACGGUACCCAAAGAAUAAGCACCGGCUAACUUCGUG
rnacentral:rRNA from 1 species